GAUGAACGCUGGCGGCGUGCCUAAUACAUGCAAGUCGAGCGAACGGACGAGAAGCUUGCUUCUCUGAUGUUAGCGGCGGACGGGUGAGUAACACGUGGAUAACCUCCCUAUAAGACUGGGAUAACUUCGGGAACCCGGAGCUAAUACCGGAUAAUAUUAUGAACCGCAUGGUUCAAAAGUGACAGACGGUCUUGCUGUCACUUCUAGAUGGAACCGCGCUGCAUUAGCUAGUUGGUAAGGUAAUGGCUUACAAAGGCAACGAGGCAUAGCCGACCUGGGAGUGUGAUCGUCCACACUGGAACUGGGACACGGUCCAGACUCCUACGGGAGGCAGCAGUAGGGUAUCUUCCGAGAUGGGCGAAAGCAUGACGGAGCAACGCCGCGUGAGUGAUGAAGGUCUUCGGGUCGUAAAACUCUGGUAUUAGGGGAGAACAUAUGUGUAAGUAGGUGUGCACAUCUUGACGGUACCUAAGCAGAAAGCCACGGCUAACUACGUG
rnacentral:rRNA from 1 species